rnacentral:lncRNA from 1 species
AGAACAACGAAGGGAGUAGAGAAAAGAGAAAAAAGAGAAUCUGUAGAGAUUUUGAUUCUUUAAGAAGUAACAAGAGUUUUCAUCUCUGAAAACUGGACUCUUUGAAUGGGAAGAAGGGUUUCAGUAUGAUUACCUUCCCAGGUAUGUGAACUUGAACUUUCUGAAAGACGUUUUCCCAGCAGAAAUUGCUAGACAAGAUUCAGCCUCGAAGGAAGAAAAAAAAAACAAACCUUCAAAGUCCUACGGGGACUGCAGUGAUCCCAAUUCUAUUGCUUAG